rnacentral:rRNA from 1 species
GUCCCGACGACGCGAGUCGUGGCGGGUUCCGCGCCGUGCUCGUAGAGGCGCGCGAGGCCGAAGUCGCCGAGCCGCGCGCUCAUGUCCGCGCCCAGCAGCACGUUGCUGGCCUUGACGUCGCGGUGCACCACCACCUGCUCCCACCCCUCGUGCAGGUACACCAGCCCGGACGCGACGCCCUUGAGGAUCCUCACACGCUGCUCCCACGUGAGCAACGCCGGCGACGGGGACACGCCGACGCCAGUGCCCGCACCGGCACGGGCACUGCCGAACAGGUGCGCGUCGAGGCUGCCGUUGGGCAUGAAGUCGUAG